UACGGAGGGGGCUAGCGUUGUUCGGAAUUACUGGGCGUAAAGCGCACGUAGGCGGCUUUGUAAGUUAGAGGUGAAAGCCCAGGGCUCAACCCUGGAAUUGCCUUUAAGACUGCAUCGCUUGAACAUCGGAGAGGUAAGUGGAAUUCCGAGUGUAGAGGUGAAAUUCGUAGAUAUCGGGAGGAACACCAGUGGCGAAAGGCGACUACCUGGCCUGUUCUUGACGCUGGAGGCGCGAAAGCUAGGGGAGCAAACGGG
rnacentral:rRNA from 1 species